GCCCGAGUGGUCUAGUGGUAUGAUUCUCGCUUUGGGCGGAAUAUCUAGUCUAACAUGCGAGAGGCCCCGUGUUCGAACCACGGCUCGGGCC